rnacentral:rRNA from 1 species
GCGAACGGGUGAGUAACAUAUCGGAACGUACCAUUGAGUGGGGGAUAACGUAGCGAAAGUUACGCUAAUACCGCAUAUUCUCUCCGGAGGAAAGCAGGGGCUCGCAAGACCUUGCGCUCAUUGAGCGGCCGAUAUCAGAUUAGCUAGUUGGUGAGGUAACGGCCCACCAAGGCGACGAUCUGUAGCGGGUCUGAGAGGAUGAUCCGCCACACUGGAACUGAGACACGGUCCAGACUCCUACGGGAGGCAGCAGUGGGGAAUUUUGGACAAUGGGGGCAACCCUGAUCCAGCCAUGCCGCGUGAGUGAAGAAGGCCUUCGGGUUGUAAAGCUCUUUCAGCCGGGAAGAAAAUGCAUGGAUUAAUACCCUGUGCAGAUGACGGUACCGGAAUAAGAAGCACCGGCUAACUACGUGCCAGCAGCCGCGGUAAUACGUAGGGUGCGAGCGUUAAUCGGAAUUACUGGGCGUAAAGCGUGCGCAGGCGGUUGGUUAAGAUAGGCGUGAAAUCCCCGGGCUCAACCUGGGAACUGCGCUUAUGACUGGUCAGCUAGAGUACGGCAGAGGGGGGUGGAAUUCCACGUGUAGCAGUGAAAUGCGUAGAGAUGUGGAGGAACACCAAUGGCGAAGGCAGCCCCCUGGGUCGAUACUGACGCUCAUGCACGAAAGCGUGGGUAGCAAACAGGAUUAGAUACCCUGGUAGUCCACGCCCUAAACGAUGUCAACUAGGUGUUGGGAGGGUAAAACCUUUUAGUACCGUAGCUAACGCGAGAAGUUGACCGCCUGGGGAGUACGGCCGCAAGGUUAAAACUCAAAGGAAUUGACGGGGACCCGCACAAGCGGUGGAUGAUGUGGAUUAAUUCGAUGCAACGCGA